rnacentral:rRNA from 1 species
CCUACGGGUGGCAGCAGUGGGGAAUAUUGGACAAUGGGGGCAACCCUGAUCCAGCCAUGCCGCGUGUGUGAAGAAGGCCCUCGGGUUGUAAAGCACUUUCAGUGAGGAAGAACGCCUGGUGGUUAAUACCCAACAGGAAAGACAUCACUCACAGAAGAAGCACCGGCUAACUCCGUGCCAGCAGCCGCGGUAAUACGGAGGGUGCGAGCGUUAAUCGGAAUUACUGGGCGUAAAGCGCGCGUAGGUGGCUUGAUAAGCCGGUUGUGAAAGCCCCGGGCUCAACCUGGGAACGGCAUCCGGAACUGUCAAGCUAGAGUGCAGGAGAGGAAGGUAGAAUUCCCGGUGUAGCGGUGAAAUGCGUAGAGAUCGGGAGGAAUACCAGUGGCGAAGGCGGCCUUCUGGACUGACACUGACACUGAGGUGCGAAAGCGUGGGUAGCAAACAGGAUUAGAUACCCGAGUAGUC